CCUACGGGUGGCAGCAGUGGGGAAUAUUGCACAAUGGGCGCAAGCCUGAUGCAGCCACGCCGCGUGUGUGAAGAAGGCCUUCGGGUUGUAAAGCACUUUCAGCGGGGAGGAAGGCGGUGAGGUUAAUAACCUCAUCGAUUGACGUUACCCGCAGAAGAAGCACCGGCUAACUCCGUGCCAGCAGCCGCGGUAAUACGGAGGGUGCAAGCGUUAAUCGGAAUUACUGGGCGUAAAGCGCACGCAGGCGGUCUGUCAAGUCGGAUGUGAAAUCCCCGGGCUCAACCUGGGAACUGCAUUCGAAACUGGCAGGCUAGAGUCUUGUAGAGGGGGGUAGAAUUCCAGGUGUAGCGGUGAAAUGCGUAGAGAUCUGGAGGAAUACCGGUGGCGAAGGCGGCCCCCUGGACAAAGACUGACGCUCAGGUGCGAAAGCGUGGGGAGCAAACAGGAUUAGAUACCCCGGUAGUC
rnacentral:rRNA from 1 species